AAUAAAGCAGCAGGAGCAGAUGAACUCUUAGAAACAAAGAUCCUAAUUUUUUUACAGCAAAGGACAUCCCUCACUAAGCUUACCUGGCUUUACAGAUUAUACCCUCCUGGAAUCCCACAGAGUAAUACACGAAUUCUAGAAAAGCACCCACGUAAAAUCUGCUGGUUUGUCAUAAGGCAAGCCCAAACAUGGGAGGGCGAGGUGGGGAUAAAGCAAAUGCCUCUCAGGUGUCAGUCAAAAUAAUUGUUAGCUUCCACUACCAGGGUGACAUUCACUGGAAAGAAUAAAAUAUCUCCAGAGCUAUCCUUAUUAAGCCAAACGUAAUAAGAAUUUGCACCAGUCAGUGGCUGCGGAAGCCACUAAUGAAAGUCCCUCUGACCUGGAGACAUGCCAGCCCACGGGGGAUGAACAGUUUGUCUCCAGUCUUUGCAGAGGGGAUAUGGAUGAUCACAGUGCUUGUUGGGUCAACCCAGAGUUUAAGAAGGGCUCCCUGUGAAGCCUUUCCAGGAGAGUGGAGUUCCGAGGGCAGAGCAGCAUGGAGACCCUAGGCUUGCCUCGUCCCUGAAACGCAACUAGGUCAGCAGCAAACCAUUUUGCACGCCUAGGAAACUGAUCUGGGGAUUAACACAACAAUCUGCAUAACUUGAGCCACACAACUCAGCAGCAGGCUCUAUGUUUGAUUCAACCUCUAUUCCUGUGUUCCUAAUGGUGCCUGCCCAAAGUAAGCACUUAAAAGACAUCUGUGUGCUGAACCACCAAAAGCAAAGAGUGGUUAGUGUAGUGGUAAGGCAGCCAAGCUAAUGAACUCAACUAGCCAUCCUGGAAGCACAUGGUGACAGGAAGGCAACGGUGAACACGAGCAGAUGAGGACACCAAGGCUUAGAAAAGAAUCCGCCCAAGUCCACACGGUUAAUGUGUGGCAAAGCGGAGGAUCUGAAUGAGAUCUCUAUGAAGUCUUUGUUUGUGGCCUCCAAACAACUUCUUGAAAAGUAUUAAAAUUAACUAUGUGAAAAUAAUGGAUACUAGCCAACGGUUCUUAAACACCAUAGACUAAGCCUUGGUGCUAAACACUGGGGGUAUCAUCGUUUUUGUGGGUGAAGUCCUCAACAACUUUGGUUAUUUUAUUGUUAUAGUGUCACAGACUCACUACAUUCAGCUACUCAUAUAUGCACACGCCAUUUGUUUCCUUACCGUCUUAGUCGUUGACAACUCCAUGCUGUUCAAACCAAAAUGUAGGUGUCCUAGACUCCUACCUGUCUCUCACAUUCCUCUCAGUUCGU